UUUCCCCAAACAAAAAGGAUAACUACAUGUGUUUAUUAGAAUUAAGGAGUCAUUUCCUUUACUUCCCUCACAGUCGACCAUUCCCUCCAGCAAAACAAAAUUUCGCCAUGUUUUACCUUCAAGCUCGAUUUCAUAAGGAAUUUCAAGCAAUAGCCACAAUAGUUUGAGAAAAAGGUUCCGGCUAGGAACGAGCCUGACACUAGAAUACGAAGUAAGAGAAACAUAUCAGGUUAAGUUUGGAUGAAGAUGGAAGUGUGCUGAGCUGGAGCUUUUUGUUUAUGUAAAUAGUAAUAGGCUCAGGAUGUUGUGUCUUCAUACAUAAUGUCCAAUGAUGUACUCCGCUGCAACACUUUAUUUCUCUUAUCACUUUUGACGUGUUGUAGAAUGUUUUAAAACCUUACCCUGUAUAUGAGCUUGAUAAAUCUUGGUUAUGAUAUUUAUUUGGUUUAAACUUCUUUUGUUAAA